AAAAUCCCGCAAGGGAUUAGUAGAGUGGCAAACGGGUGAGUAACACGUGGGUGACCUGCCUUCGAGUGGGGGAUAACGUCCCGAAAGGGACGCUAAUACCGCAUGACAUCCUGCCUUUGAAGAGGUGGAGCUUAAAGCCGGGGAUCGCAAGACCUGGCGCUUGAAGAGGGGCCCGCGCCUGAUUAGCUAGUUGGUGAGGUAACGGCUCACCAAGGCAACGAUCAGUAUCCGGCCUGAGAGGGCGGACGGACACACUGGGACUGAGACACGGCCCAGACUCCUACGGGAGGCAGCAGUGGGGAAUUGUUCGCAAUGGGCGCAAGCCUGACGACGCAACGCCGCGUGGAGGAUGAAGACCUUCGGGUCGUAAACUCCUUUCGAUCGAGACGAACGGCCCCUGGGCUAAUCACCAGGGGAGUGACGGUACCGAGAGAAGAAGCCCCGGCUAACUCCGUGCCAGCAGCCGCGGUAAUACGGGGGGGGCAAGCGUUGUUCGGAAUUACUGGGCAUAAAGGGCUCGUAGGUGGCCAACUAAGUCAUACGUGAAAUCCCUCGGCUUAACCGGGGAACUGCGUCUGAUACUGGAUGGCUUGAGGUUGGGAGAGGGAUGCGGAAUUCCAGGUGUAGCGGUGAAAUGCGUAGAUAUCUGGAGGAACACCGGUGGCGAAGGCGGCAUCCUGGACCAAUUCUGACACUGAGGAGCGAAAGCCAGGGGAGCAAACGGGAUUAGAUACCCCGGUAGUCCUGGCCCUAAACGAUGAAUGCUUGGUGUGGCGGGUAUCGAUCCCUGCCGUGCCGAAGCUAACGCAUUAAGCAUU
rnacentral:rRNA from 1 species